rnacentral:rRNA from 1 species
AACGAACGCUGGCGGCAGGCCUAACACAUGCAAGUCGAGCGAGACCUUCGGGUCUAGCGGCGGACGGGUUAGUAACGCGUGGGGAACGUGCCCUUCUCUAAGGAAUAGCCACUGGAAAACGGUGAGUAAUACCUUAUACGCCCUUUUGGGGAAAGAUUUAUCGGAGAAGGAUCGGCCCGCGUUAGAUUAGGUAGUUGGUGGGGUAAUGGCCUACCAAGCCUAUGAUCUAUAGCUGGUUUUAGAGGAUGAUCAGCAACACUGGGACUGAGACACGGCCCAGACUCCUACGGGAGGCAGCAGUGGGGAAUCUUAGACAAUGGGGGCAACCCUGAUCUAGCCAUGCCGCGUGAGUGAAGAAGGCCUUAGGGUCGUAAAGCUCUUUCGCCAGAGAUGAUAAUGACAGUAUCUGGUAAAGAAACCCCGGCUAACUCCGUG